rnacentral:lncRNA from 1 species
UAUACUCCGUAUUAAGAACAGGUUUUCGAGGGCUGUCGAAUCUUGCUUCGGACUUUCCAACACUACCUUCCGAACCAUGCACUGAAUGAGCUUUCUGCGACGUACCAACAGGUUUCCUAUUUGGAGAAUCACGAGGGCUGUCGAAUCUUGCUUCAGACUUUCCAACACUACCAACUCUCCGGUCAUUACCUUCCGAACCAUGCACUGAAUGAGCUUUCUGAGAUGCACCAACAGGUUUCCUAUUUGGAGAAUCACGAGGGCUGUCGAAUCUUGCUUCAGACUUUCCAACACUACCAACUCUCCGGUCAUUACCUUCCGAACCAUGCACUGAAUGAGCUUUCUGAGAUGCACCAACAGGUUUCCUAUUUGGAGAAUCACGAGGGCUGUCGAAUCUUGCCUCGGACUUUCCAACAAUACCAACUCUCCGGUCGCUGCCUUCCGAACCAUGCACUGAAUGAGCUUUCUGCGAUGUACCAACAGGUUUGCUAUUUGGAGAAUCACGUCCUGAUCCCUCAUGCUUAUCUGCAGGUUUUUUAAGGCUUCCGUCGGGACCAGAUGUAGUCUUGAUAUUGGUUACC